rnacentral:rRNA from 1 species
UACAGAGGGUGCGAGCGUUGUCCGGAAUCACUGGGCGUAAAGGGCGCGUAGGCGGCCUGGUAAGUAGGGGGUGAAAUCUUGCGGCUCAACCGCAAGGCUGCCUCCUAGACUGUCAGGCUCGAGCACAUUAGAGGCAGGUGGAAUUCCCGGUGUAGCGGUGGAAUGCGUAGAGAUCGGGAAGAACAUCGGUGGCGAAGGCGGCCUGCUGGGAUGUUGCUGACGCUGAGGCGCGACAGCGUGGGGAGCAAACAGG